rnacentral:rRNA from 1 species
GGGUAGUUUGACUGGGGCGGUCUCCUCCCAAAGUGUAACGGAGGAGCACGAAGGUCAGCUAAUCCUGGUCGGACAUCAGGAGGUUAGUGCAAUGGCAUAAGCUGGCUUGACUGCGAGAGUGACGGCUCGAGCAGGUGCGAAAGCAGGUCAUAGUGAUCCGGUGGUUCUGUAUGGAAGGGCCAUCGCUCAACGGAUAAAAGGUACUCCGGGGAUAACAGGCUGAUACCGCCCAAGAGUUCAUAUCGACGGCGGUGUUUGGCACCUCGAUGUCGGCUCAUCACAUCCUGGGGCUGAAGUAGGUCCCAAGGGUAUGGCUGUUCGCCAUUUAAAGUGGUACGCGAGCUGGGUUUAGAACGUCGUGAGACAGUUCGGUCCCUAUCUGCCGUGGGCGCUGGAGAAUUGAGGGGGGCUGCUCCCAGUACGAGAGGACCGGAGUGGACGCAUCACUGGUGUUCGGGUUGUCAUGCCAAUGGCACUGCCCGGUAGCUAAAUGCGGAAGAGAUAAGUGCUGAAAGCAUCUAAGCACGAAACUUGCCCCGAGAUGAGUUCUCCCUGAGACUGUAAGUCUCCUGAAGGAACGUUGAAGACGACGACGUUGAUAGGCCGGGUGUGUAAGCGCAGCGAUGCGUUGAGCUAACCGGUACUAAUGAACCGUGAGGCUUAACCUU